GUCUAUGGCCAUGCCACUCUGAACAAGCUCGAUGUCUGGUUUCAGAAGCUAAGCAGAGUUGGGCCUGGUUAGUACUUGGAUGAGAGACCACCUAAGAAGACCAGGUGCCGUAGGCA
rnacentral:rRNA from 1 species